CGGAAGAUGAUCCAGCAGACCUUCCAGCAGUACGCCUCGCUCAGGGAGGAGGAGUGCGUCAUGAAGUUCUUCAACACUCUCGCCGGCUUCGCCAACAUCGACCAGGAGACCUACCGCUGUGAACUCAUUAAGGAUGGAACAUUACUGUGGACCUGGUCAUUGGCCCUAAAGGGAUCCGCCAGCUGACUAGUCAGGACGCAAAGCCACCUGCCUGGCCGAGUUCAAGCAGAUCAGGUCCAUCAGGUGCCUCCCGCUGGAGGAGGGCCAGGCAGUACUUCAGCUGGGCAUUGAAGGUGCCCCCCAGCCUUGUCCAUCAAAACCUCAUCCCUAGCAGAGGCUGAGAACAUGGCUGACCUCAUAGACGGCUACUGCCGGCUGCAGGUGGUGAGAAGCGGAACAGCCUGCCCCAGAUCCCCAUGCUAACCUGGAGGCCCGGCGGUCCCACCUCUCAGAGAGCUGCAGCAUAGGUCAGACAUCUACGCAGAGAUUCCCGACGAAACCCUGCGAAGGCCCGGAGUCCACAGUAUGGCAUUGCCCGUGAAGAUGUGGUCCUGAAUCGUAUUCUUGGGGAAGG
rnacentral:lncRNA from 1 species